rnacentral:rRNA from 1 species
UACGUAGGGGGCAAGCGUUGUCCGGAAUCAUUGGGCGUAAAGAGCGCGUAGGCGGCCCUGUAAGUCCGCUGUGAAAGUCAAGGGCUCAACCCUUGGAUGCCGGUGGAUACUGCAGGGCUAGAGUCCGGAAGAGGCGAGUGGAAUUCCUGGUGUAGCGGUGAAAUGCGCAGAUAUCAGGAGGAACACCGAUGGCGAAGGCGGUCUGCUGGGCAGUUGCUGACACUGAGGCGCGAAAGCCAGGGGAGCAAACGGG